rnacentral:rRNA from 1 species
CAGCAGUCGCCGCGGUAAUACCGAGGGUGCAAGCGUUAAUCGGAUUUACUGGGCGUAAAGCGCACGUAGGCGGCUUGGUAAGUUAGAGGUGAAAGCCCGGAGCUCAACUCCGGAAUUGCCUUUAAGACUGCCGAGCUAGUAGGUGAGAGAGGUAAGUGGAAUUCCGAGUGUAGAGGUGAAAUUCGUAGAUAUUCGGAAGAACACCAGUGGCGAAGGCGGCUUACUGGCUCAUUCUAGACGCUGAGGUGCGAAAGCGUGGGGAGCAAACAGGAUUAGAUACCCCCGUAGUCCCUGUCUCUUAUAC